UUCCAGGUGACGAAUCCCAAAUGGGACGAAACGUGCGUCCUGGAU
rnacentral:hammerhead_ribozyme from 1 species